rnacentral:rRNA from 1 species
AUACGUAGGGUGCAAGCGUUAAUCGGAAUUACUGGGCGUAAAGCGUGCGCAGGCGGUUUUGUAAGACAGUAGUGAAAUCCCCGGGCUCAACCUGGGAACUGCCUUUGUGACUGCAAGGCUAGAGUACGGCAGAGGGGGAUGGAAUUCCGCGUGUAGCAGUGAAAUGCGUAGAUAUGUGGAGGAACACCGAUGGCGAAGGCAAUCCCCUGGGCCUGUACUGACGCUCAUGCACGAAAGCGUGGGGAGCAAACAGGAUUAGAUACCCUGGUAGUCCACGCCCUAAACGAUGUCAACUGGUUGUUGGGUCUUCAUUGACUCAGUAACGAAGCUAACGCGUGAAGUUGACCGCCUGGGGAGUACGGCCGCAAGGU